AAUUAAUCAACUUUUCAGUUUUUACAUAUAAUAUUUAACUAUUCGUCUUAUUAAAAAAAUUUAUGAUUGAUAUUUUUAUUUUUAUUAGAUGAUAAAACAUGAAUAGUUGUGUGACUAUUUUUUUUAAAAUUUCUUAAUAGUUUUUCAAAUAAGACGGAUGGUCAAACGUUCGACACAAAAACU
rnacentral:pre_miRNA from 1 species